rnacentral:rRNA from 1 species
AUGGAAUCGCUACCUCAUGAGAGAUUUGUGUUGCUCUCGGUCACUCUUUGGGCUAUUUGGACUGCUCGACGUAAGGCUAUACAUGAAGGCAUCUUCCAAUCUCCUCAAGCAACUUUCCUUUUCAUCAAUAGUUUUAUAGGGGAGUUGGACUCUAUCAAACCAGCGACACCAUCCAUCAGCCGAGCACAACAACAGGAGAACAGAAGACAAAGACCGAAGGCUCCCCCUGCUGGAUUUGCAAAAAUACAUGUGGAUGCAGGUGUGCUUCGUGACAGAGGAGGAGCAGCUGCAGCUAUAUGCCGAGACAGUAACGGACAUUAUUUGGGCAGUUCUACACUAGUCAUUGAGGGGGUCGUCGAUCCUGCAGCCCUGGAAGCAAUAGCAUGCAGAGAAGGAAUUGCCCUGGCCCAAGAUCUCAACGUGCAAGACUUUGUUAUUGCAUGUGAUUCCAAACAAGUUGUCUCAGAUAUUAUGAACGGGAGUAGAGGUAGAUUUGGUAGUGAGAUUAAUAUCAAGCUAGCUCAGCUUCACUGUAAUCUAAUUUUUGAGAGUCGUGCUGCUAAUUAUGAAGCACAUAGUCUAGCCAAAUUUUUAUUUUCGAGAGGUCGGGGCGCCACGUCUGGCUUGCAACCCCACGACAUCAGGUGUAUCCCACACACUGUGGUCUUUGAUUAA